UUUUUAUCAAUCGCUGUUAGAAAUCUAGUGACAAAACAGAUCGAUAUAUAAUUCCUGGGAAUUUAUUUACAAUCUCAAUAUUUGAAUAAAACUAACGUAAAAACAAACGCAUAAUAUCUACCAAUAAAUCACGUAAGAUGUAGGGUUAAAAGUAAUAUAUAAAAACAAUGCAAAAAAUAUAAAUAGUUAACAGUAUUCCAAUUAGUUUAAUAACAGAAUAAAGUCAUUCUUUCGUCAAACAUGAAAUUAAUUAAUUUGUUCCUUGUAAUCGCUUGCAUUGCUGCCAGUACAAUGGCAAUUCCAAAUAAUUAUAAUGCACAAAACGUUGUAAACUCCGGUUAUUUUUCUCAAGGAAGGAAUCAUUAAUUUAUUUAUAAAUUUAUUUAAUUGUUCGAAAUAAAAAAAAAACAAAUUUUAUUUAGUUUGUAAUGAGCAAAUAACAAAAGUUAAUUCUAUAUAAAUAUA